GCCAGGCAUGAUGGUGCACACCUGUAGUCCUAGCUUCUCAGGAGGCUGAGAUAGGAGGAUCACUUGAGCCCAGGAGUUCAGGGCUGCAGUGAACUAUAAUCAUACCACUGCCACUCCAGCCUGGGCAACAGAGUGAGACCCUGUCUCUA
rnacentral:SRP_RNA from 1 species